CGUGUCGUCAUGCACAACAGCUUCUGGAUUUUAGGGGCAGCUGCUGUGACUGAGAAGUGAGCAAAUGCUGGAAAUAGCCAUUCUGUUGUCUUGGAAGUCUUUGUGUCUUCAUUCUGAAAAGCUGGAUCUCUGUGUGCAGCGAUAUCUUGAAUAAGGAGCUGUAUAGAAAGAUUAUCAAAGCAAUUGUAAUGGUUAUGGCUUCUCCAUUCUCCAGAAAUAUAUGGAGGUAUAGACACACAGUGCUAUUACCUUGGGAAAACUAUUAGAGGUUGCUUCAUGCAACGAUAAGGACUUUUAUUCAUCGAGAGUAAUUACCUCUAUCUUCAUAAGAAGUGAGAAGAUGACAGUAAGAAUUACUGUGUCACACAGAGAGGUGAUGAUGGCAGGAGCGUCACUGCCUCAGCUGGAGUGAGAGCUCCAGAAUUAUUGUGGACAUAUCCCAAGGUUUCAAAUAGCAAGAACCCUGGUAGUUCUACCUGGCAUUGCCAUUCCAUUGGAAUCCCAGAAGCUGCUCUGCCAUCUGUCCAUAUGCUGAAUAUCAUCAGCCUGUUAUAAGCAUGAGUCAAAGUGGAGGUGAGAAGGUGGUCUGUUCGUUGGCCCAGGCUUCUUCAAGAGUGCUCUAAGGCAACACAUCUUCCCAUUGCAGUGCAGUGUUGUACCAAGGGACGAGACAUUGGAGCAAGAUGCAGUAGAGAGCUGCAGGUCUGUGACACAAUCUCUGUCAUUCAUUCUGAGAUAUGCCUGGCUACAAAGAAGGAACGAAGAAAGAAGUGCAUCUGGGCUUGUAUCCAAUUGGAUUACUGUCAACCUCUUCCAGCUGAGAAGGGAAAAGACAGAUGUAUUGAUGGUCACCGAAAUGAGAUGGAACAAAAGACAACAACCUGAGCAGAGAAGAAAAGAUGAUCACAUGGACCAGGAGCUAACUGGACACACAGACACUAACUGGAGAACCUGGGAACUGCA